rnacentral:lncRNA from 1 species
AUGUAGAAGGAUAGAGAUUGGAGAAAUAUGAGAUUUUACUAAUGAAAUUUGGGGAUUACAAAGGAGUUGCUACAGCACACUCUUCUCUCUAUUUUUGAGAGAUUUUUCCUUACUUCUUCUACAUACUUGACACUAGAUAGAUGCCUUCAUAUUUAUAGAAAACAUUGAGUAAACUAGAUAAUAGCUGUUUUUCUUCAUCAUUUGCAGCUGUUAUGUCUUCAAUUACAGCUGUGUUUGAACAUGAGAAGUGUCAAAUGGCUGCUCCAUCAUGUAAUUUCCAGAUUACAGCUGUUAGUGAACAUCAGAUUGCUGUCUAUGUUCA